rnacentral:rRNA from 1 species
GUGGGGAAUCUUCCGCAAUGGACGAAAGUCUGACGGAGUAACGCCGCGUGAGUGAUGAAGGUCUUCGGAUUGUAAAGCUCUGUUAAUCGGGACGAAAGAGCCUAGUGUGAAUAAUGCUAGGAAGUGACGGUACCGGAAUAGAAAGCCACGGCUAACUACGUGCCAGCAGCCGCGGUAAUACGUAGGUGGCAAGCGUUGUCCGGAAUUAUUGGGCGUAAAGCGCGCGCAGGCGGAUCUGCCAGUCUGUCUUAAAAGUUCGGGGCUUAACCCCGUGAUGGGAUGGAAACUACAGAUCUAGAGUAUCGGAGAGGAAAGUGGAAUUCCUAGUGUAGCGGUGAAAUGCGUAGAUAUUAGGAAGAACACCAGGGGCGAAGGCGGCUUGCUGGACAUUAACUGACGCUGAGGCGCGAAAGCGUGGGGAGCAAACAGGAUUAGAAACCCCGGUAGUCC